AGCAAUUACUGGAUAGAAUCAAAACUGACUCCGAGGAUCAGUACAUUGAACUGCAGUUUGGUCAACGUUGUGUUGAUAGACAAAAGCAGAUGUGUUCGGAAGUUUGCACGAUUGUGACCUGAAGUGUUUGAACCGAAAUGUGGUCGGUCAUUGUGAAACAUAUUUGUUAAUGUAAAACCAUGUCGUUGCUUGCAAUAUCUUUUACGGAAGAACCUGUCGUGUUGAGUUUAUAGGACCGUACGUUUGUCUUUCGUCAUCCAUCAGGCGUGUCCUGAGCUUAACAAUAAUACUUAUGGUCCUGCAUCGUUGAGAACAAACAUUUCGAAACCGUGGGGCACAACAACGAAGGUGGAUCUUGAACUUAAAGCUUAAGCGCGCUGAACACCGAACUGCUACUUUGCGUCUGUCAAGGAGAAAGUGAUCGCGAGAAAUACAGCUUACUAGAUGCUCAUUGGUGUUAAUCUCUGAAGGAAUGAAGAGUAAUUUCUGUGAAGGAAAUUAUUUAAACCUUACGGCUUCAACAUGGGAAUCUACUGCAUACAUAUGCUGAACAGCCAUUAUUGAUCCAUAAUGGUUUACUCGAAAUCUUCUGCAGAUCUCAAACACCUUGUAACACUUUAAAUUGUGAUCAAGUUUUAAAUCCACAGCAAAUUUAUGAAGUCUUAAAUAUUCCUACCUGGAACUGACAAUCUGUUAUCAGCAUCGAGAAAUGAAAGUCGCGUCAGUGCAUUAAAUCUUGACCACAUAAAGAUUUCCACUCCAAACAGUUAGUAUUUAAAUCCAUUUGUCAUGUUCGCUUUUCAGUCGGUAAGUUUAAUGCUGAGGAAAUUGGUCAAUUAGUGCUUCAUAAUGCAAACUAAAGCUGAGCCUUAGCUUCAAAACUGGUCAUCAGAAUUGUUUUAGUGCAUUUAGUUAUUCUAGUCAGUUCUGUUACUGUUGCCAUUAACUGAACUUCAAUCAUAUAUACUACGUUCUAAGUGCCAAAUGAAGGUGGAAAAGGAGUGACUAAGGUUUGCAUUAAUCAAAUAUUUUGGGAAUUAGCAAGUAACCAGACAGUUGAAUAUUCAAGUGACCUGUUAGUUUAUUAUAUUAUCGUAAGCUUUAAAGUUUAUAUCAAUAUAUGUACAAUUUUUGCUGGUUUUAAAUCUCUUGAUCAGUUUCUAUGAAGUUUGUACGCCUUUGAGCCAAUAUUUUGUAUUUAAGAUGACAACUGUCAGCUGAAUAUUUUAGUCAUGACAGGGAAGCCAGUUUUUGCCCAGUUGACUGGAUUUUAUGUAAUUAUAAUUGUUGAAUUUUCUGGUUGUAAUUAUCAAAAAGCAUAUCGAAGUACGAUAUAUAAUUGCAAUAAAAUAAAAAUCAUAUUGUAAUUACUUCAGAUCAAGUUAGUACACUGAACUUGACACUUCAUGGACUUGAGGAGUACAUGUAAAAAAAUCUUUCCAAAAUAUUAACUACAAUUAAGACUAGUUCAGUUUCCUCAAGCCCUGCAUGAAACUAAUUAGAGUGUAAAAUUUUGUACACUACGUGUGACUGAAUACUUUUAUCGAUAACUUACUUCAUACAGUUGGUAUUAAUUUCAAAAUGUAAUUUGAAAAUGUAAUUGAUGCAUAAAUUUGGCUAAUUAAAAUUCGUUCCUAUACCAUUGCAUCUUUUACCUUUGGUAGCCUACAUGUGCCAUCUAAGUCUGGAUUCUCUUUAGGCUGUAGCUUCAAACAUUCGGUUAAUGUAUAUUCUGGGGGCUUAUUUAAUCCCGAAGGACUUUUGUGAUUAGAACACGGCACCUAUUUAGAAAAUCUUUGCUGGAGAUUUCCCAGGGGCGCAGAUGGCGGCAGUCUUGAAUUUCAAAAUGGCUGCCAUUUCGGGCUCUUUCCAGUAAGAGUUUGUGUUUAGUCCAAUAAUUCAUUUAUUUUCACUCAACAGAAAUUUAAUGAGUUGAGUGAAUUUUCACAGUACAUUACCGAAACAUUUAAAAUAGCCACAUUCAAUAUUCAAAAUGGCCGCCAUAAAUACUGACCCAUACUUAGAAUUUUUCAUACUGGUUGUAUUAUAAGGGUUGUUGAAUACUAUGUUGUUGGCAGUAAAAAGCCAAUAUGGCUGCCAAAAACCCAAAAUGGCUGACAUACAUUGCCUAAAGAAAACUCCCAAUAGUUUAGCUACACUGUUAGCCAAAUCUGCAAUUGGUCUGAUCAUUAUCUAAAUAUUCAUAACAUUUACUUCACUAGCUUUCGUAUUAUUCAUCAUCCUCAUCAUCUGAUCAGGCAAGGGUCGCUUCAUCCUCACAUUCUGCAUUAUCGCAUUAGUCUGAUUCAGUAGAACAUUGGCACAGUUCAGUACACUAAAGUUUAUUCUUUCUGCAUUUGCACACAUUGGUCGAACAUCUUGCUUAGAACCUUGACCAAAUUAUUGCAUUAGGAGUCUUUGGCAACGGUGUCAUUAUUGGUUUGUAUUCAUCUGGUAAAUUCCAUUCACAGGUAUCAGGCUUUGGAAGCUUUGGAUUUGCAAUGAUGUCACUGUACCAAAUCAUUGCCUUGUAGUGUGCCCGCAUUAUUGAUGGUAGACGUGCAGCUCUGCUAGGAGGGAGACCUUCAAAAUGUGCUUGUUUUUUCCUGAAAAGCCAACACCUUAAUCUUACAUUUGCUGUUUCUUUGAGGCAAAUACACCUGACAAAUGAAUGCUUUAAUGGCACUGAUGGUUGCUUCAAAUGGUCUUUCUGCCAUGCCAAGCAAAGAGUGCAUAAACCUUGCCAUCGUUCGGGUCAACCUCCUUCAGCACUUUCCAAAAUGUCAACUUUCCCUUGCCAACGAAUCUAAAGUGACAUCUGUUCCCGAUGGAAUUCUGGGAGAGAGGCAGCACCUAUUAGGACCCAAAGCAUUGAAGAUUGGAGCAAGCGGUACUACUCUACGGUUCUUACCACCACCUGUGAUAGCGCCUUAGUAACGUGGUCGGUAUGGUGUUGGCGUACCACCUCCUUGGCCGCGAGUAUGAUUUUCGGGCUUUCCAUUGAGGGGUUAGAUAUGUGCAUUUCUGGCAUGGAAGUUCACUUUCGACGUGGUUCGCAAGUCACUUAAAGCUGUUGGUCCCGCUGGAGAAUAACCACUGGUUCCAUGCAACGUAGAAACACCAUACAAUACAAACAAACUAACUCCUGCGAUGAAGCAUAUCUACAAAGAACUAGGUAAUGCCAAAUGGCUAGUACGAGGACCUUUUGUCUGGCGAAUAAAUAAUUGAAAGAUGUGGCACCAUUUUGUCUGGCAUUUACACAAUUCAGGAUAAACUUGGUAUCUUCUUCUUAGGAGCUUGAAAGGCCUUCAAUUUUUGUUGGGCCUUUGCUUAGUUACGCCUUAGCACACAAACAUUGUCUCCUAGAGAAAUAGUAAACUCAUGUUUUGUUUUCACAUGGGCAAACACUUUUCAUGCUGGCCUUAGCAAUAGAUAUGUGAAAAUGGUAUGGCUUUGGUGCUUGCUAGUCUUUCUUUCAUGAGUUACUGCUUUCAAAGAUGCUCCAGUGUCAUAAUGAUAAACCACAGGUACUUCAUCAUCACUAUUUUUCCUAAUGGUAUUUACUGAAAUAACUAAUUCAUUUGCAUGUUUUGACCCAUUCUGGCUUAUCUAGAGCUUAGAUGUCUCCCAUUCCAUCCACAAUUGCAAUAAGUUUUGUAUUUUCAAAUUG